GGCAGCACGGAGCUUGCUCUGGUGGCGAGUGGCGAACGGGUGAGUAAUGCGUCGGAACGUAUCCAAUAAUGGGGGAUAACGCAGCGAAAGCUGUGCUAAUACCGCAUACGCCCUCCGGGGGAAAGCAGGGGAUCGUAAGACCUUGCGUUAAUGGAGCGGCCGACGUCUGAUUAGCUAGUUGGUAGGGUAAAGGCCUACCAAGGCGACGAUCAGUAGCUGGUCUGAGAGGAUGAUCAGCCACACUGGGACUGAGACACGGCCCAGACUCCUACGGGAGGCAGCAGUGGGGAAUUUUGGACAAUGGGCGCAAGCCUGAUCCAGCCAUUCCGCGUGAGUGAAGAAGGCCUUCGGGUUGUAAAGCUCUUUCAGGAGGGAAGAAACGAUUGUGGCUAAUACCCAUGAUUAAUGACGGUACCUUCAGAAGAAGCACCGGCUAACUACGUGCCAGCAGCCGCGGUAAUACGUAGGGUGCGAGCGUUAAUCGGAAUUACUGGGCGUAAAGCGUGCGCAGGCGGUUUUUCAAGUCUGAUGUGAAAUCCCCGGGCUUAACCUGGGAACUGCGUUGGAAACUGAAAGACUAGAGUGCGGCAGAGGGGGGUAGAAUUCCACGUGUAGCAGUGAAAUGCGUAGAUAUGUGGAGGAAUACCGAUGGCGAAGGCAGCCCCCUGGGUCGACACUGACGCUCAUGCACGAAAGCGUGGGUAGCAAACAGGAUUAGAUACCCUGGUAGUCCACGCCCUAAACGAUGUCAACUAGUUGUUGGGGANGGAGANCUCCUUAGUAACGCAGCUAACGCGUGAAGUUGACCGCCUGGGGAGUACGGUCGCAAGAUUAAAACUCAAAGGAAUUGACGGGGGCCCGCACAAGCGGUGGAUUAUGUGGAUUNAUUCGAUGCNNCGCGAAAAACCUUACCUACCCNU
rnacentral:rRNA from 1 species